GGGGACUGACUGACUGAAUCACACCCCUGGGGCUGGGGGCUGCUGACAUGUGUGCCUUUCCUUGGCUGCUUCUUCUCCUGCUGCUCCAGGAGGGCAGCCAAAGGAGACUCUGGAGAUGGUGUGGAUCCUGAGGAAGUGGUUGCGGUCCUUCAGGAGUCCAUCAGCCUCCCCCUGGAAAUACCACCUGAUGAAGAGGUUGAGAACAUCAUCUGGUCCUCUCACAAAAGUCUUGCCACUGUGGUGCCAGGGAAAGAGGGACAUCCAGCUACCGUCAUGGUGACCAAUCCACACUACCAGGGCCGAAUCCUAACUAUGCUUCUGAGAAGCCUUCAAUAGCCUUCUGCCUCCUGGCCAAGGGAUUGCUCAUCUUCUUGCUCUUGGUAAUUCUGGCCAUGGGACUCUGGGUCAUCCGAGUCCAGAAAAGACACAAAAUGCCAAGGAUGAAGAAACUCAUGAGAAACAGAAUGAAAUUGAGGAAGGAGGCAAAGCCUGGCUCCAGCCCUGCCUGACUGCUCCUUGGGAACCCCAGUCCUGAGCUUGGUUUCUUCCCAGCACCCAGAGAAUCCUUCCUCAGCAAUCUUCUUUCCAGGGGAAGGAGGUGCUCAGGGGUGGGUAUCCAGAAAGCCAUACUUCUGAGGGAAGACUGGCUGGCAAUAAAGUCAAAUUAAGUGACCACAA
rnacentral:sRNA from 1 species